UGCCGGAGCCGUCCGGCGUCUGUUUCGGAUUACCCAGCACGACCGAGCAUCCCGGACGCUGUCCAAGCAUUCAUCUGGCAGAUAAUGGAAAAACAGGCCCCAGCUUUGUACCCAGUCGGAAUGCAAAAAAAGGUGAUCAAGACUCUCGAAGCUCUGCUGAGCUCCACUUUGGGCACCAAACCUGCAGAGACCGCUCUCGUGGCUUGACGUCACCAGUCCAAAGCAGGGUCACUUCCCCCCAGAAAUAGGUGGAAACAGCAGGGGUCUGUAUGAGUUUGAGGGGGCUGUUGGACAUUUCAGAGGGAGUGCAGAGGACUCAGAUGGGACCCCUGGUGGUUGAUAUGGACCGACUGGAACUAGAGGGGAAGAGAACUAGAGGGGAAGAGCCUGGGUCCCUCCUCUGAGCUCCUUGGGCACCGGGGCCCUGCACACGUGGCACUGAUCCCAUUCUGCCUGGUCAGGACUGGUGAGCUUGGCCGUUCUCUCAAGAAGGCUGUGUGCACCGCUCGUGAAGUGCCAGGCUCAACACCAAGCUUUUGUGAGCUGGAAAAUCCACAGCUUCGCCUGAUGGGCCCCCAGGAGCCCACGUCCUCCUACCGGAGAAAGCACACGGCCGCGGAAGCACACGUGUGUAGCCCGCCUCCCGUGCCGCCCCCAGGCUCUGGGCCUUCUCUGAGUUGCCCUAAAACAGAGUUUCCCAGAGAGUGCAGUGAGUCCACUGGCGGCCUCCAAGGGGUGAUAGUCGGUCUGCUGCAGGGAGGGAAGCACAGACCUCCUCCAGACUUGGGGUGUGGGAACAUCUUUGGGAGCACCUGCUUAGCCAUCGGCAGGGCUGGCUGUGUCUGGCGUGAACAGCACGG